GCUGAGUGUGGUAGUGCACGCCUGUAGUCCCAGCUACUUGGGAGGCUGAGGCAGGAGGAUGGCUUGAGCCCAGGAGGUCAGGCUGCAGUGAGCUGUGAUCAGGCCACUGCACUCCAGCCUGGGCAACAGAGUGAGACCCUGUCUUAA
rnacentral:SRP_RNA from 1 species